rnacentral:rRNA from 1 species
AACGAACGCUGGCGGCAGGCCUAACACAUGCAAGUCGAACGCUGUAGCAAUACAGAGUGGCAGACGGGUGAGUAACACGUGGGGAUCUUCCUAUCGGUACGGAAUAGCUCAGGGAAACUUGGGGUAAUACCGCAUACGCCCUUCGGGGGCAAGAUUUAUCGCCGAUAGAUGAGCCCGCGUCUGAUUAGCUAGUUGGUGAGGUAAUGGCUCACCAAGGCGACGAUCAGUAGCUGGUCUGAGAGGAUGACCAGCCACACUGGGACUGAGACACGGCCCAGACUCCUACGGGAGGCAGCAGUGGGGAAUAUUGGACAAUGGGCGCAAGCCUGAUCCAGCCAUGCCGCGUGAGUGACGAAGGUCUUCGGAUUGUAAAGCUCUUUUGGCGGGGACGAUAAUGACGGUACCCGCAGAAUAAGCCCCGGCUAACUUCGUGCCAGCAGCCGCGGUAA